GCCCGGCAGAGGGGAUAUGAGACACCAUUCGCAGCCGUACGGGGUCCAGCAGCCAGGAAUAAUUUACAAUGCGAGCAAGCGGGAUAAUGUGAGCCAGAGUGACGAUCAAGGUGAAAGACUUUUGUGAUAUCUCCAAAGUCUCACGAAUAAGGACUGGCUAAGACUAGUGCCAGCCGCCGCGGUAAUACUAUCGGUCCAAGUCGCAGCCAUUUUUAUUGGGUCUAAAACAUCCGUAGCUUGUUUGAUAAGUUCUUUGAGAUCUCUUAUGUCUUAAGCAUGAGGCGGGCAAGAAGUACUGCCAAGCUAGAGACUGGAAGACGUAGGAAGUACGUUCGAAGUAACGGUAAAAUAUGUUAAUCUCGGACGGACUCACAAUAGCGAAGGCAUCUUACGAGAACAGUUCUGACAGUAAGGGAUGAAAGCUAGGGGCACAAAUCGGAUUAGAUACCCGUGUAGUCCUAGCAGUAAACACUGCACACUAAACAUUAGUACCUCUUCGAGAGGUAUUAGUGCUGUAGGGAAGCCGAAGAGUGUGCUACCUGGGAAGUAUAGUCGCAAGGCCGAAACUUAAAGGAAUUGGCGGGGGAGCACAAUCG
rnacentral:rRNA from 1 species